GGGGAUUUAGCUCAGUGGCAUAAGCACCUGCCUUGCAAGCAGGCGGUCUCAAGUUCCAUCCCCA
rnacentral:tRNA from 1 species